UAAUACAUGCAACGUCGAACGCUUUAUUUCAAUCAUCGUAGCUUGCUACACCGAUUGAAAAUUGAGUGGCGAACGGGUGAGUAACACGUGGGUAACCUGCCCAAAAGAGGGGGAUAACACUUGGAAACAGGUGCUAAUACCGCAUAACCAUGAUGACCGCAUGGUCAUUAUGUAAAAGAUGGUUUCGGCUAUCACUUUUGGAUGGACCCGCGGCGUAUUAACUUGUUGGUGGGGUAACGGCCUACCAAGGUAAUGAUACGUAGCCGAACUGAGAGGUUGAUCGGCCACAUUGGGACUGAGACACGGCCCAAACUCCUACGGGAGGCAGCAGUAGGGAAUCUUCCACAAUGGGCGCAAGCCUGAUGGAGCAACGCCGCGUGAGUGAAGAAGGUCUUCGGAUCGUAAAACUCUGUUGUUAGAGAAGAACAUGCGAGAGAGUAACUGUUCUUGUAUUGACGGUAUCUAACCAGAAAGCCACGGCUAACUACGUGCCAGCAGCCGCGGUAAUAC
rnacentral:rRNA from 2 species